AAACUUUCAACAACGGAUCUCUUGGUUCCAGCAUCGAUGAAGAACGCAGCGAAAUGCGAUAAGUAAUGUGAAUUGCAGAAUUCAGUGAAUCAUCGAAUCUUUGAACGCACAUUGCGCCCCUUGGUAUUCCGGGGGGCAUGCCUGUUCGAGCGUCAU
rnacentral:rRNA from 2 species